GGUUUUGUGGUUUAAAUUUAAGACGUUAGAUUGCAAAUCUAGAAAUGUGUGUAAGUACACCUAAACUU
rnacentral:tRNA from 1 species